CCUACGGGUGGCAGCAGUGGGGAAUAUUGGACAAUGGGCGAAAGCCUGAUCCAGCCAUGCCGCGUGUGUGAAGAAGGCCUUCGGGUUGUAAAGCACUUUCAGUGGGGAAGAAAGCCUUGGGGCUAAUACCCUCGAGGAAGGACAUCACCCACAGAAGAAGCACCGGCUAACUCCGUGCCAGCAGCCGCGGUAAUACGGAGGGUGCGAGCGUUAAUCGGAAUUACUGGGCGUAAAGCGCGCGUAGGCGGUCUGAUAAGCCGGUUGUGAAAGCCCCGGGCUCAACCUGGGAACGGCAUCCGGAACUGUCGGGGUAGGGUGGAGGGGGGGAGGGUAAAAUUCCCGGGGUGGCGGUGAAAUGCGUAGAGAGCGGGAGGAAUACCAGGGGCGAAGGCGGCCUUCUGGACUGACACUGACGCUGGGGUGCGAAAGCGUGGGUAGCAAACAGGAUUAGAUACCCCGGUAGU
rnacentral:rRNA from 1 species